rnacentral:lncRNA from 10 species
UUUGCAGUCAUGGCUAACCAUGAAGACAAAAGCCACCUGCUAAGGAUGAGAGAGCAGAAAGAUAGAAGCUGCCUGGGAAACUGGGAACAUUGCAAAGCCAUUGUGCCAGUCCUGGAUUGUCUACCUGUGCACUUCAUGUGAAAUAAGAAAAACGAGGCCAGGUAACUGGGAAACCAGAUCCAUUGUCAGAAGCUUGCUGAAUGAGCCCAGAACCGGAAUGAAAACACUCCUGCUUGGAUGCAUGCGCUUUCUCAGA